UACGCAGGUGGCAAGCGUUGUUCGGAUUUACUGGGCGUACAGGGAGCUCAGGCGGUUGGGUAAGCCCUCCGUGAAAUCUCCGGGCCUAACCCGGAAAGUGCGGAGGGGACUGCUCAGCUAGAGGAUGGGAGAGGAGCGCGGAAUUCCCGGUGUAGCGGUGAAAUGCGUAGAGAUCGGGAGGAUGGCCGGUGGCGAAGGAGGCGCUCGGGAACAGUUAUGACUAUGAGGCUCGAAAGCGUGGGGAGCAAACAGG
rnacentral:rRNA from 1 species